AAUAAUUAUUAAAUUUUUUGUUCAGAGAGAGAGAGAGAGCUAAUGCCUCUAGAAACAACCAGAAAUCUCUGAUUAGGGCAAAGUGUCACCUCUGCUCUCUUACUGCUUGGGAAGAUUCUCGCUUUCGACCUGCUGACUCAGAAAUUCUGACUUUCCCGGGAAAAUUUUGUGAUUUUCUGAGAAAAUUUUACUAUUUUCUUGGUUAAAACUUUCGGAUUUCAGGAAACAUAGUUGGGGGCACGCAUUCUACAAUGACUAUGAUUCAAGAAAUUAUUUGUAUCUUCAGUGGCGGGUAAAAGUUUGUGAGGAAUGUCAGACUUGUGCAUGUAUGAGCUUGAAGAUAAUGUGUGGGAUGAAUUCAGUGAGAGUGAUGACCAUAUAGUACCUCAUCCCACUGACGACUGUGGGGAUCAGUUUAGAGUUCAUGGUGAUGAUCAUAAGAAACCAAGACGCGAAAUAAUAGGGGUUGCAAGUAAUAUUGGUGAUGCUACUAAGUACAUUCAGAAAAAGGAGGAAGCUAACUUGCAUAUGCUGACUAAGAAAGAUAGGAUGCUAGAUAAGGCUUCAUGGUCUCACACACCUGAUGGUGUAUUUCCUGGUUCCUGUGAUAGUGGCUCAGUCAAAGAAGUUGCAAGUAUAGCAUCUGAAGCAACAAGGGCAUCUAAUCAGAGUUCAAAAACUGGGAACAGCAGUUCAGUUGGUGGUGAAUUUGCUGAUGAUGAUCCUAUCUUUGCGGAAAAGAGUACUGCAGAUGAUAAUGACACGUACCGAUUUCCACUAAGUCACAUAUCUCAGACAAACAAUGAUCUAAACUUUUUUGAUAAUGAUCAUGAAGUCAAAGAAAGCAGCGAUCUAUUAUAUUAUGGGUGGCCUGAUGACAUAGGGAAUUUUGAGGAUGUUGACAGGAUGUUCAGAAGCUGUGAUUCGACAUUUGGGUUGGAGAGUCUCACUAAUGAGGAUGACUUGUGCUGGUUUUCAUCAUCUCGCUCUACUGAAGGGUCUGAAGAUGCAUCAAAGUUGGUUUCUAGGUUUUCAAGUUCUGAGGCAAGUGCAUUGGAUUGCAUAUCAGAACAUCAUGAAGCUUCUAGGCUAAACAAUGCUGGUCCUUCAGUCAAUGUUUCCAAUAAGAAAAGUCUAUUAAUGGGUGACAAAACAAGUUCCAAUAAUGCUGGUGCUUCUGACCAUUCUGGUUUUGCUCAUUAUCAAUUUUCAAAUGGAUCAGAUGCAAGAUCUGUAAGGACAGACAACUCGAUGCUAAAGGAACAGAUCAGUUCCCAUAAAAGUCAUGGAAGGCACCGAAAUUACUCAGAGGGAAAGAGAAAAGAACGAAACCUAGACAGUGAUGGUUCUUUCCAUCAUAAUGGCAACUUCAAGCAAGUUGCAGAUGCCAAAUGUUCUUUUGGGGACCCGUCUCCUCAAUCUUUUUCUUCUCCACAUCCUCAACAUCGUAAACCAGAUUUAAGAUCAGAUUCUUUGGAUUACAUGCAGACAAAUAUUCCAUAUAUGAAUAUAAACUAUGGUCAUUCUUCAGAUCAAACUUCAGUCUGUCCAAGUCAAUCCGGGAUAAAGUCUGAAAGCAAUGGACUCCCUUCUCCUUCUCCAAAGGACUCUUCAUUUGCAUCAAAUCAACUGCAGUCCAUAGAGAGUUCUCAUGGACCCUCAUUAGACACUCCUGCUAUAAUAAAUGAGAAGAGGGAGAGACUAUAUCUUUGCCAGGAUUUGCAAGCCCAGUAUGCAAGGAAUUUUAAAUGUGCAAAUAUUGCAAGUCCAACAGCACUUUAUGAUUCAGUUCAGAAUCAAAACCGUCAAUCUGAUUAUGAGGUUGAAUGUCAUAGUGAGAUUGAGGAGGUCAGCAUAAGGAUUCCAGCAGAACUAGAUUCAAAUGCACAGGAGAGCUCCUGCAUGAGCUCUGCAUUAGAUGAGAUCUCGCUAGAAGCAACUAGUUUUCGCCAACUUCAGCAAGUCAUGGAACAGUUGGAUAUUAGGACAAAAUUGUGCAUAAGAGAUAGUCUGUAUCGUUUGGCUAGGAGUGCUGAACAAAGGCAUAACUGUGGGAAUGCAAAUGGUGGUAAGCAAGAUGAUAGAGACACAAGUGGCCAGUUGAUCACUGAAGAUACAAACAAGGGCACUGGAUUCCUUGAUAUUGAAACUGAUACAAAUCCCAUAGAUCGAUCUAUAGCACACCUCUUGUUUCAUAGGCCCUCAGACCCAUCUCUGAUACCUCUUAAUGACGCACUAUCUCUGAAGUCUCACACCAUGGUAAAUCAAUGGUGUUGGAAUUUAUCCUAAUUGUGCACGUUUUGUUAUGCCAACUAGCUUGGGACCAAGGUUUGAUGUAAUUGAGUCGGAGCAUAAAUUUAUGGAUGCCACAUGAUCAUGUCCAAUUCCUUCCUUAGAUUGUGGUUUCAGACAGAACUGUUUCAGGACCUUAUGAAUCAAGUUCGCACGCCGCUUUAAAUGGGCGAACAGCUCACUCUUGGAACAUAUUACAGUCCCAGGUGGCGAAAGGCCAGCUCACUCUUGGAACAUAUUACAGUCCCAGGUGGCGAAAGGCCCAUAUCGAAGUGGCAAACCUUAUGUCAGAUGUGAGCUUUUGAGGAAGAUCAAAAAAAUAAGUAAUUUUUAUCCAUCGAGUGAUGGCACUAAGCCGACUUUCACCUCUGCUAGACAGGUUGUAAUCAAGCUCCCUUCCGCUUUUGCAGUCGAGGGCCAAGAGUCUUGCAAUCAAGCUUCCUUCUGAUUUUGCACUCGAAGGUCAGUCUUGAUCUAAGCAGAAAACCUUUGCACCCCUUCAUUACUUUUUGAGGUGCUAUGCAACGUGGAAAUUGUCUAUUUGGUGAUUUACCUAUGCAACGUGGAAAUUGUCUAUUUGGUGAUUUACGAUAACAUAUACCUUGAUUUAAUUGUUUGAAAAUUAUUCAGGGAAGCUAUAAUUUUAAUGUG